GUGGGGAAUAUUGGACAAUGGGCGAAAGCCUGAUCCAGCCAUGCCGCGUGUGUGAAGAAGGUCUUCGGAUUGUAAAGCACUUUAAGUUGGGAGGAAGGGCAGUAAGUUAAUAUCUUGCUGUUUUGACGUUACCGACAGAAUAAGCACCGGCUAACUUCGUGCCAGCAGCCGCGGUAAUACGAAGGGUGCAAGCGUUAAUCGGAAUUACUGGGCGUAAAGCGCGCGUAGGUGGUUUUGUAAGUUGGAGGUGAAAUCCCCAGGCGCAACCUGGGAACUGCCUCAAAAACUGCAUGACUAGAGUACGGUAGAGGGUAGUGGAAUUUCCUGUGUAGCGGUGAAAUGCGUAGAUAUAGGAAGGAACACCAGUGGCGAAGGCGACUACCUGGACUGAUACUGACACUGAGGUGCGAAAGCGUGGGGAGCAAACAGGAUUCGAUACCCGUGUAGUCC
rnacentral:rRNA from 1 species